AGUAUUCAAAGUAGUUUAAAAAUAUAUAAUGUUCAGCGAUCUGACCAAGAGCUAAUGAGCCUUCACGUAAAUGGGUCCAGUCAUGCCUCCCAGUAAGAAGCCAGAAAGCUCAGGAAUUAGUGUCUCCAGUGGACUGAGUCAGUGUUACCGGGGCAGUGGUUUCUCCAAGGCCCUUCAGGAAGACGAUGACCUCGACUUUUCUCUGCCUGACAUCAGAUUAGAAGAGGGGGCCAUGGAAGAUGAAGAGCUGACCAACCUGAACUGGCUGCACGAGAGCAAGAACUUGCUGAAGAGCUUCGGGGAGUCGGUCCUCAGGAGUGUCAGUCCUGUCCAAGACCUGGACGAUGACACUCCCCCAUCCCCUGCUCACUCCGACAUGCCCUAUGAUGCCAGGCAGAAUCCCAACUGCAAACCCCCCUAUUCUUUUAGCUGCCUCAUAUUUAUGGCCAUCGAGGACUCUCCUACCAAGCGCCUGCCAGUAAAGGAUAUCUACAACUGGAUCUUGGAACAUUUUCCAUAUUUUGCAAAUGCACCUACUGGGUGGAAAAACUCAGUGAGACAUAAUUUGUCAUUGAAUAAGUGUUUUAAGAAAGUGGACAAAGAGAGGAGUCAGGUAAGCCUCUGUGUCUGGAACUCAAGUUUGUUUUAUUUAAAUUUUUAAGAUUUGAUUUUUCUCCAUUAAAAAAAUGAAUUUAUGUUCACCACACUGGAGUAGCAGUUGUAA